GAUGAAGAACGCAGCGAAAUGCGAUACUUGGUGUGAAUUGCAGAAUCCCGUGAACCAUCGAGUCUUUGAACGCAAGUUGCGCCUCAAGCCAUUAGGUUGAGGGCACGUCUGCCUGGGCGUCACAUAUCGUUGCCUGAUGCCAGUUUCCUCGUGAUGGGUGACUGUGCAGGGCGAAUGAUGGCUUCCCGUGAGCAUUGUUGCCUCAUGGUUGGUUGAAAAUUGAGUCCUUGGUAGGGAGCGCCGUGAUAGAUGGUGGUUGAGUGACGAACGAGACCCAAUCAUGUGAGACCCCUACCGAAUUUGGCCUUCAUGACCCACAUGCGUCUUUGGAACGCUCAUGACGAGACCUCAGGUCAGGUGGGGCUACCCGCUGAGUUUAAGCAUAUCAAUAAGCGGAGGA
rnacentral:misc_RNA from 1 species